UACGUAGGGUGCGAGCGUUGUCCGGAAUUAUUGGGCGUAAAGAGCUCGUGGGCGGUCUGUCGCGUCUGCUGUGAAAUCCCGAGGCUCAACCUCGGGCUUGCAGUGGGUACGGGCAGGCUAGAGUGCGGUAGGGGAGAAUGGAACUCCUGGUGUAGCGGUGGAAUGCGCAGAUAUCAGGAGGAACACCGGAGGGGGAAGCAAGUCCCUGGGCAUUAACUGACGCUGAGGAGCGAAAGCAUGGGGAGCGAACAGG
rnacentral:rRNA from 1 species